GUGGAGCUUAGGUGGUAAAGCUGGCUGUCUCGCCACUCACCUCCUGCUAUGCAGCCUGGUUCCUAGCAGGCUACUUACAAGUCCACACCCCUAUUAUAAAGUAUAAUUGAGCAGCAACAUCAUGGAAUCAUGGAACAAUACUUGACUUUCUAGGGGGAAGUGUGAAGGAGUGAAGAGGACAGGUAAAGUGUUUAUCACUUAUUCACUGAUUUGUCAUUCAACAAAUACUUAAGUCUCCUUUAAGAAGCCACUAAGGAGAUAACAAGAUGAGUGAACUAUUUACUCUCCUAGAAAAUCACAAUCAUGAGAUGUAAACAUAGAAAUAAAAAUAAAAUGAGCAAAAAAAGUUUGAAACAGAUUAAAAUAAAGUCUUCUGAAAAUUUUUAAAAAGUGAGAUGAUUUCCACCUGAGAGGUGGUGGAUGAUGCAGAUGGGCAUUCAUGGAGGAGCAAGCAUGUGAGCUGGGCUUUCAACAGUGAGAUGGGGUUUCACCAUGUUGUCCAGGCUGGUCUCGAACUCCUAAGCUGAAGCAACAUGCCUGCCUAGGCCUCCCGAAGUGCUGAGAUUACAAGAAUGAGCCACCACACCCAGCCAAGGAUUUUGACUCUUAUCCUAUGAAUAAUGAGAAGCUGCUGGAGUGUUUUAAACUAGCAAGAAAACUAACAAAGUUUGCAUGUUGGAAAAUGUGCUUGGCAAUAAGCCAUUUCCAGCUUCUGGUAAUCAUUCUAUUCUCUACUUCAAUGAGAUCAACUUCUGUGGCUCCCACAUAUGCCUGAGAACAGAUGCUGGUUACGUGAGUGUGCUCACUUUGAUUUGUGUGUGUUCCUGUACGUUAUACUUCAAUACAUUUUAUUGACAACUCCGGUUGGUGACACAGAUAUAAUUAUGCAUAAAAUAAAACAAAUAAAAUACGUACCCC
rnacentral:lncRNA from 1 species